rnacentral:rRNA from 1 species
UACGUAGGGUGCAAGCGUUAUCCGGAAUUAUUGGGCGUAAAGAGCUCGUAGGCGGUUUGUCGCGUCUGCUGUGAAAACUGGAGGCUCAACCUCCAGCCUGCAGUGGGUACGGGCAGACUGGAGUGCGGUAGGGGAGAUUGGAAUUCCUGGUGUAGCGGUGGAAUGCGCAGAUAUCAGGAGGAACACCGAUGGCGAAGGCAGAUCUCUGGGCCGUAACUGACGCUGAGGAGCGAAAGCAUGGGGAGCGAACAGG